rnacentral:snRNA from 1 species
GUACUUAUUUGGAGGGGAGAUACUAUGAUCAUGAAAGUGGUUUUCCCAGGGUGAGUCUUAUCUAUUGCAUGCCAAAUAUUCUGAUCCCUGCAAUUUCCCUAAAUAUGGGAACUUAACUGCAUAAUUUGUGGUAGUGGGGACUGUGGUUGCAUUCUCCCCUG